rnacentral:lncRNA from 1 species
CUACAAUGUUCCAGAAAUUAUGCAAAAUACUGGAAAUGUAGCGAUAAACAAAAUUGACAAGUCUCUGUCUUCAUGGAGCUUACAGACCAGUGAGGGAAGCUGACAUUAAUUAAGUGAUGACAAAAAUAAAUAUAUGAUUAUUCAUUGAGAUAAGUACUAGCAAACAAACAGGCUGGAAUGGUUGGAAGAGGGCUCACUGAGGUACUUCCUGGGGUCAGGCAGCAAAGCUAUGAGCUACAAUUAUGAGUUUGGAUUUUAUUCUGCACAAGAUGAAAAAUCACUGAAGAGUUUCAAGUCAGAGUAAGACAUGGUCUGAUUUUUGUUUCAAAACAUUUACUUUGCCUGAGUAGAGCCCAAGUGGGAAUACAGUGUGAGUGGAAAUGAGAACGUCACUCAGGAAUGCUUAGGUAGGGAAAGUUGGGAGGCUGAGGCAGGAGAAUGGUGUGAACCCGGGAGGCAGAGCUUGCAGUGAGCCGAGAUAGCGCCACUGUACUCCAGCCUGGGCGAAAGAGCAAGACUCCGUCUCAAAAAAAAAAAAAAAAGACGUAUUUUUUUGAAGUAGAAAUGAUGGAUCCACUCUAGGGUGGAGAGGAAAGGGCAGUAUCAGGGAUAACUUUCAGGUUUCUGGUUUGGGCAAUUGGGUAGAUAGUGAUAACACUUACAGAGAUGGGGAAAACUGGGAUAUACAGCAUUGGGAGUCAAAGAUAUAUUUAUUUCUAGGAAAUGAGUUGAACUUAAAGGAUAUAGAAUCAUGGGUGGUAAAAUUUGCUUGACUAGGGUGAAGAAACAUAGUUGUGUCAGAGUAAUCAAAUGAACAUGGGUGACCUUAACACAAGUCUAUCUGUAGGGACAGUCACUUCAAUAUACAAAUAGUCCAAACAAGCUGUCUCUUAAUAUAUAAGGGAAAAGAGAGUUGUUAGAAAUAUUAAUUUAGUAAUCUACUGUGGUCAUCAGAAGUUACAGCCUAAAAGUUGGCAACAACCUGUAGAGGAAGAAUUGGAAAAGGUACAACUCUCUCACAUUUAUGAGCCAGGCACUGCCCUAAGACUUUAUACACAUCAUCUAAUUUAAUCAUCCCAAUAACCCAGUGAAACUCAGUAAUAGAGAUAGGUACUAUUAGUGGAGACAGUUGGUGUUUUCAGAAUGGCAUAACCACCAUGCUUUAUAUAGUGCUUCCCACAUGACUUCAACACAAAUGAAUACAUUUCUGUUGGAAACAAUAACAGCACAGUGAAAAAUAGUUAAAUUAUCACCAACCUCACUGAUAAAAAUUCAUCUGAGGUAUAACUGACAUCUAUUGCUAAUGGAAUGAAGAUGAAUGAAGUAGCUUCUAAAUACAAUGCCUUAUCUUUUCACUAUCUGGACUAGCUGCAACCUACCCAUUCCAGGGUUUUGUUUUUGUUUUUAAAUUUGGGGACUUGACUGGAAUUGACUUGGAAAAAACAAUGCAGCACUUGCCAUACUUAUUAUCUGCCUAAUAUUGUUAAGAUCUAAAGGCAAUUAGGAAAUUCUCAAGGUAUCUAAUCUGAUAGCAAAUACUCUUCUUUUAAUGCUUUCUAACUUACCAAUGAAGAAAAGCAGCUGCUCGUGGAAAUGUUCAAAUCUAACAGGUUUAUUAAUGGGCCUACUAUGACCUGAUAGAGGGGCUAUCAUUUUGAUAAUCAAAUAAACACAAGUUUCAGCUCUUACAUUCUGAGGGAAAUUUCCAUCAGAUCAUUUCCAGUCCUUUCUCAGGCACUGACUUUUACAUCACCAUGUGUCACUGAGACAUAAUCGUUAAAUUUAGUGUGUCACCUAGUACGUGCUAUUUAUUGGUUACACAUCUGAUAGUUCUUGCUCUAGGGAAUAUUUAAUUCCUCAAAUUCACAGCCAAAAAGCCUCCUACUUUGCCAAUAGGACUCUGACUUUUUUUUUCUUGGGAAACAACCCAACUUUGUGUAACAGAAUGAUUUUCCUCCCAACUUUGAGCAAGACUCCCAGACAAUGUAAUCUCUGUUUGUUACUUAGCAGCACCAAGGUCAGCAUCCCAAGUGCCUGGGUAUUCAGGCUUUUGUUUCUGUUGGGUGGCUUGAAGGGGAUGUUGAAAUGUGGUGUUUUGUUCAGAGAUUGUGUUAACACUUUUCACUAAUUAAGGUCUAAGAGCUUGAAAUCCUUGCAUUUCAAUUCAUCUGGUGGAAAGGAAACUCAAGACAUGGGCCGUCUGUUCUUAACCUCUAUCGAGGGCUCUCUCUCAAGAAGUAGCACUGGAUAUGGUGCAGACGAAUUUGGGUUUGGUGUGCUGUCUCUGGUUUUAGGGAUGCCCCACAUUGGUCCUUUCACUUAUACAGAGGAACAUGGUUUCUUAGUUAUUGAGAAGCCAGAAAACAGCCCUGGUGUGUCUGCCUGAAUGAGAAGGGCUGGGGAACUAAAGAGAAUGGGAUCCCUGGGGUUGCUGAGGCUGCCAAGGACCUGGACAUCCAAAACAAGAUGGAUUUCUACACAGAGUUGCUAAAGAUACCAUAAAGAACCAAGAAGGAAUAAGAAGGGGAAGGUAGAGGUCAGAGAUGUACGCAGGAUCUGGCCAGAAAGAGGCUUCUGGGUGGGGCUGGAAGAUGCAGGGGCUUAGAAAAAGCAGGGGCGGCCGGGUGCGGUGGCUCACGCCUGUAAUCCCAGCACUUUGGGAGGCCGAGGCAGGCGGAUCACAAGGUCAAGAGAUCAGGACCAUUCUAGCCAACAUGGUGAAACCCCAUCUCUACUAAAAAUACAAAAAUUAGCUGGGCAUGGUGGCAUGCACCUGUAGUUCCAGCUACUCAGGAGGCUGAGGAAGGAGAAUCGCUUGAACCUGGGAGGUGGAGGUUGCAGUGAGCCAAGAUCCUCCACUGCACUCCAGCCUGGCGACGGAGUGAGUGAGACUCCAUCUUAAAAAAAAAAAAAAAAAAAAAAAAGGAAAAAGAAAAAAAGAAAAGGCAGGGGCUUAGAAAAAGCACUAGAAGGGGACUGAAUGAGGACCAGGACUGCCUGAGUUAUAGCAGAUGCCUGCUAUGCAAGGACUAAUGCAUGGGCCAGGGGGACAGCCCUAGCAAAGUGUCUGGGCACAGUUCUAUGUAUCUAGGUGAUUCCCAUCCCCAAGUGGUCUGGAUUGAUGAGAUUCUGUAUACAUGAAAUAUGAAAUGGGGGUGCUGACCAACUAGUCCAUAUUUCCAACUACAGGACUGGCUGACAGCAGGUGAGAAAUAACAAGCACUGAAAGGCCAAGAGAAAUGUCAUAUACGAGAACCUAUUACCAAGUUGUCAAGGCUCUUCUGAUCUAAGGAUUUUUGACAACAGAUGGCUAACCAUUACUCAGAUAGGUGUUUUGAGACAGGAGACUGAAGGAAUUACUAUUCAAGGCCUUUCCCUUGUGAGUCUACAGACUAUGAAAAUAACAUCUAAAUCACUUCAUUUAAAAAAUAUUCAGUUGUAUCUUUUCAUACAACAACAAACUCUUCUUGAUUCCACUCUCCUUUUAAUUUUAACAAAACAUAAAAUCACAGCUCAUCUGGAAAGUAUGUCAUCAGAAAGGAUGCAACGCAUAUGCCCAAGGUUCAGGACUGCCUUUGCCAAUGACAGUGACAAAUGAAGUGAAUACUGCAUGAGCGUCACACUGUUGGGGGAGGCAAAGGAGAUGCCAGCCUGUACCUACUGUUCCACUGAAGAAAGACCAUAAACACAAGGAUAUAGAUUUAGUGAUCAAAGUUUCAAACAUUGCUCAGUGGAAGGCCUGGAAAACCAUGUGGGGCUUACCACAUGGAAAAAAGAUAGUAGCUGCAACUCAUACAUGUUUACUUGCUGCUUUCCACACUGUAGUCAGUCAGCAAAUAUUUAUGGAAAUGAAUGAACAUAUGAAAACUAUAGCCAUCACAGAGGUGUACUAUAAACCAAUGUCAUGUUUUUGUAAAGGCCGGAAUGAAAGAACCACCUGGAAUCCGACUCAUGGUGCUAAUGCUGAACUUAUUUGGCACAAGUUAUUUAGAUUCAAAAAGGCCACCCCAAGAGCACUCUCUUUCAGUUUGAGCAGAACUCCUGAAAAUCAUACUAGCUACCUUUCAUUGUGUUCUUAUUAUGAGCAGGAUAUUGGGAUAAAGAACACUGGUUUCUCUCAUUUAAUUCCAACAGCAGUCUGGUGGCUCAGGAGCUAUUAGGAUUUUUUUUGGAUCGAUAAGGAGACUGAGGGUCAAAGAGGUGACGUCACUUGCCCAGGGUCAUAGCACCAGGAAGCAGGAGAGUUAGGCUUUACAUACAGCAUGGCUGGUCACUCUGGCUCAUGACUUUAAUUCCGGAAUUUUGGGAGGCAGAGGUGGGAGGAUCACUUGAACCCAGGAGUUUGAGACCUGCCUGGGCAACAUGACAAGACCCCAUCUCUACAAAAAAAAAAAAAAGAAAAAAGAAAAAGAAAAAUUAGCUGGGCAUGGUGAUGCACAGCUGUUGUUCCAACUGCUUGGGCAACUGAGUUAGGAGCAUUGAUUGAGCCUAGGGGUUUGGGGUUAGUGAGCUAUGACUGUGCUACUGCACUCCAGCCUGGUUGACAGGGCAAGACACACACACACACCGCCCCCCUCCCCACACACACCCCCCAAACACUUUAAUCCUUAAGCUACACUGGAAAAAUGGCCUGGUUAAGACAACCAGUUGCUCACCUCUACUUACCCAUGGCAACAACAGAAAGCAAGGACCUCAGGAAAUGUCUCUUAAGACUUUUAGAGUUGCCUGAUUCCUCAGUCUCCCACGAAGAGAGUAGCUACGCAAUGUUAAUAGCUCUGACUUUAAUGCCUUUUCUCACAACACCUUUAGUGCCUGUGAAGAAAGACACUACAAAAAGCAAACAUACAAUGCCAUAAAUAAAGGGCCACAUUUCCCCUUGACUGAAGCUACCCUACUUUUCUCUUGGACAUUUUUCAGGGUUUAUUAACUCGUUGAGGCCUGCCAGAUGCCACAUAGUAAAUUACUAUUUCCAUUGACGGGUGAAUGCUCUUUACAUGGUCAAGAAGGGAAGGCUGCAGGUUGUAAAUUUUGGCCCCCUGGCAAUUCACCAAGGAAAAAUCUCUUGAAUGCUCAAUCUGCAGGGCAUCUCAAAGAUUAUUCUGUCCAUCUAUUUAUUUUACAAAGUCAAGACUAGAGAAAAGGAGAGAUGUUGUGCCCAAGGUCACACAGCAGGGAAGGAGAAAAUGCAGGCUGAAGAAGCUUCUGUCCCUAGCACAGAAUGCUAUUUGGCUCCAGUCGCAAUGGGGGCUUGGGGCUAGGUUAUGGUGUUGUUCAAAAACCACAGCUAACCACGCACUCUGAUUCUUUCUCACCCCCAAGCAAGAGUGUAACAACCUCUUGUUCCAAAGCACCAGCGAAGAGCAAAUUCCAAGGGGUGCUUGGGUGCUGCCAACACAGGAAAUGGCAGCUGGGGUGGUGGGGAGGGUGCUUGUCUUCAUUUUGCUCUAAAAUGUUGCAAAGGUUUGAGAGUCAGACAGGCCUGGGCUGGAAUCCUACCCUACCUGUCAUUUUACCAAGGUGCCACUAGGGGCAAGUGACUUCACCUCUCUCAGCUCAGAUUUGUUCUCUGUAAGAUGGGAGAAUAGUAGUAUCUGUACCCAAUAUCACUGUGUUACAAUUAAAUGAGACAAUGCAUGCAAAGCUCUUUGUGUUUCAGCCAGACAGCAUACAAAUGGUACAUUUUUUUUUGCAUCAUUACUACUAUUAUUUCUAUUCAGUGGACCCUUUCAGAAUAUCUCUUAACACGAAGUUUAAAAGGUGAGUUUAAAAAAAUUUUGUUAACUAAUGGAGUCUAACAUUCUAACAGAGGCAUUGAUAGGUAAAGGUAGGACUUUGGCAAGAUCUCAUCCCUGUGAAUGGGCAAAGUGCUUUUCUUUCCAAAGGUCCCAGAGAAAUCAAUCCACAGAGCAGUUAUAUACGUUGAAGAUUCCUUCUGUAGUGCCCUUUUCUCUCUUAGAGACUAUUACUUACCAGUAUUGUCUCUUCUCACCAGAGUAAUGAGAGGAAAGAUGCUAUAUCUGAAUGCCACAUCCUUUUCUACUCCAUCAUUCCCUGCUUACACUUAGGUUUUCUCAAGAACUCCUGCGUUUCUCCCUUGUCUUUUGUUAUGCCAUUUCUUUAAAUGUCCUGAGCCACAGAAGCAGCGUCAAUGAUAACCAUUACAGAAUCCACAGUCACUCACUUCCCUGCCACGCCCUGAUCUGCUGUGAGAGUUGUCACAGUCCUUUGUCAAAAAACAUAUCUCCUUAUUGGCAAUGAACUCACUUAGGGGAGGUUUUACAGGCUUCUCACAAAACAAGAAUGGCUCUGAACAGUGGCAGCGACAACCAAAAUAUUGAGGAAAAAUGGAGAGAAAGCUUUACCAGGAAACAAGGGCUGUGACUUCAGGGCGUAAAGCCAGUGUUGACAAGGCCUGCCUGAUGGCUGUUUAUGUCUGGGACCACCCUGGCACUUAUUACCAUGAAAAGGAGCUGACAGCGCCUGAGAUUGGCAGGGAACACCAAGGAAGAAAGCGGAUGUGGGAGUCACGGUCAUCCCAGCCGGAUGGGGCAUUAGGCCAUCCUCCCAUCCCCACUGCCCCCCAACACUCCAGCCUUUGCAAUGCUACAAAGGUCUAAGAAAAGGAACCAAGAUUCACAUGUCAACUCUUGGAGCACAGUCGAAGGCUGCUGUCAAUAUGAGAACCAAGUAGGUGGCCCUGCAUAUGCUUAGUAAAGGAGAUGGCAGGGCCAGGCAAAUAAAGGGAGACAACGAGGGGCUCACAUCUUCCACUCCCACCCCAUCGCCCCCAGGAAUAUGGGGGACAGGGCUCUCCAGUUCCCCAACCUUCGAUCUCACAAUGUAACAACUUCAUAUUAGAGGGGAAAAUAAAUUUUAACAUUAAAUAUAGCAGUAUAUGAAAUUAGUUAUGCAAGCUAUGAAACCCAAAUUAGGGCUCUUUUUGCUCUGCAAGAGUGGAAAUAUUUUACCGUUGUCUUCCCCAUCAAGAAAGAAACAAAAACCAAGGAAAUCUGCAAAUGUAGCACCUGGUGAAUUCUAUCGUGGCUAUAUCCAGGGGUACCCUGGGGAACUGAUGACAAUAAUCACCAGGCAGUGUUACCCCUCAUGUGGGUAACAGGGCUCUAUUACCCUGUUGAUUCCUUAUUCCCAAACACACUGCCUGUUUUUGUAGGACUUCUUUUCCCUUUCAAGGUUUACCUGGUGAUUAUUUGUAACCUGACAUCAGCAGAAUAAUGAUGUUCACAUUUUUCAGGAAAGAGGCGAAGAUAAUACAAGGACCCACUCUAUGCCUGCCAUGGGAUUAUUUAUGAAAGCUGUCUGGAAGACAGGGAGGGCGGUGGGUGAGAAAUUUGUUCCAGAGAUUCACAGUCUGGUGAGACAAGUUUGAGAUCUCAUAUUUUCAGCUCAUCCUUGAAAACCUUUCUUCGAUUUGACUGACCUUGAUGGCUCCCUGGAAUCUCACCUACAUUUUAUGGGAAAUUCAACUCUCCAGAGAGAAGAGCUUUCAGAUAGCUACGGGACUUGCAACUAUGACUUUCAGCUUUCGCUUUUGAAUGAGGCUCCAAAUGUCUCAAUGGUGGCACUAUUUCCAGAUUUGGGGUAAGCCAAUUCUUUGUUGUUGGGGUUGUGCUGUGCAUUGUAGACUAUUAAGCAGCAUUCCUGGCCUCUACCCACUAGAUGCCCAGAGCACCUGCAUCCCCAUCGUAACAACCAAAACUGUCUCCAGACAUUGCCAAAUGUCCACCGCAGGCUAAAAUCACCUCCCAAUUGAGAACUAUUGAAUUAUACUAAGGUUCUCAGAAAGUCCUUCAGCAAGUUCUCAAAACUGAAUUGAUUCAAAUUGACUUGGUGAGGUCAGGGCACACAGAGAUUCUUUGUUGAUGGGAGUUGUAAAGGGCCUGCUGAACAUCUGCUCAAUGAAGUCAGGGGCUCCAGCUAAAAGGGUUGGGAAGCCCCCAUCUAUAGAAAACGUGCCGUGUACAACGUGAAAUCAAUUCCCAUGCACAACAAUGAAGAUCCCAAUUACAAUGAACAAACACGUUCUUCUGAACAGCACUUCCUCCCUGACAUUAUGUCCAUGACCCUGCACCCUGCGGGGGGCUCGGAUAUGUUACGUCUGAUUCAAAGACAACCAAAAAGAAGGAAAUAAUGAUUUCACCAAGAAAGGACACAUACCAAGGCAGGAAUAGGUAAGUGGGCUAGGCGGGGCUUUUAUUAAUCUCAAGGAAAACAAACAGCACACAUUUUUGGGAAAAUGCUUUCAUUUUCAAAGGA